rnacentral:rRNA from 1 species
GACGAACGCUGGCGGCGUGCUUAACACAUGCAAGUCGAACGAUGCGGCGAACGGGUGAGUAACGCGUAAUCAACCUGCCCGCCAGCGGGGGACAACAGUUGGAAACGACAGUUAAUACCGCAUAUGAAAGGGGGGGCUCGCGUCUGAUUGGCUAGUUGGAGGGGCAACGGCACACCAAGGCGAGGAUCAGUAGCCGGUCUGGGAGGAUGAACGGCCACAUUGUGACUGAGACACGGCCCAGACUCCUACGGGAGGCAGCAGUGGGGAAUCUUCCGCAAUGGACGAAAGUCUGACGGAGCAAUGCCGCGUGAGUGAUGACGGCCUUCGGGUUGUAAAGCUCUGUUAAUCGGGACGCGGUACCGGAAUAGAAAGCCACGGCUAACUACGUGCCAGCCGCCGCGGUAAUAC